rnacentral:rRNA from 1 species
GAUGAACGCUGGCGGCGUGCUUAACACAUGCAAGUCGAACGGAAAGGCUCCUGCUUGCAGGGGUACUCGAGUGGUGAACGGGUGAGUAACACGUGGGUGAUCUGCCCUGCACUUCGGGAUAAGCCUGGGAAACUGGGUCUAAUACCGGAUAGGACCACAUUUUGGAUGGUGUGGUGGAAAGUUUUUCGGUGUGGGAUGAGCUCGCGGCCUAUCAGCUUGUUGGUGGGGUAAUGGCCUACCAAGGCGUCGACGGGUAGCCGGCCUGAGAGGGUGUACGGCCACAUUGGGACUGAGAUACGGCCCAGACUCCUACGGGAGGCAGCAGUGGGGAAUAUUGCACAAUGGGCGCAAGCCUGAUGCAGCGACGCCGCGUGGGGGAUGACGGCCUUCGGGUUGUAAACUCCUUUCGCUAGGGACGAAGCGCAAGUGACGGUACCUGGAGAAGAAGCACCGGCUAACUACGUG